AAAUUGAAGAGUUUGAUCAUGGCUCAGAUUGAACGCUGGCGGCAGGCCUAACACAUGCAAGUCGAACGGUAACAGGAAGCAGCUUGCUGCUUUGCUGACGAGUGGCGGACGGGUGAGUAAUGUCUGGGAAACUGCCUGAUGGAGGGGGAUAACUACUGGAAACGGUGGCUAAUACCGCAUAACGUCGCAAGACCAAAGAGGGGGAUC
rnacentral:rRNA from 1 species